AGUGAACGCUGGCGGUAGGCCUAACACAUGCAAGUCGAACGGCAGCACAGUAAGAGCUUGCUCUUACGGGUGGCGAGUGGCGGACGGGUGAGGAAUACAUCGGAAUCUACUUUUUCGUGGGGGAUAACGUAGGGAAACUUACGCUAAUACCGCAUACGACCUACGGGUGAAAGCAGUGGAUCUUCGGACCUUGCGCGAUUGAAUGAGCCGAUGUCGGAUUAGCUAGUUGGCGGGGUAAAGGCCCACCAAGGCGACGAUCCGUAGCUGGUCUGAGAGUAUGAUGGGCGACACUGGAGCUGAGACACGGUCGAGACUCCUAGGAGAGGCAGCAGUAGGGACUAUUGCUGAGUGGGCGAAAGCCUGACGUAGCUACUCCGCGUGAGUGAUGAAGAUCUAAGGAUCGUGAAACUCUGUUAUUAGGGAAGAACAAAUGUAUAAGAAUCUAUACACGUCCUGACGGUCCCUAAUCAGAAAGCAACUGCUAACUUCGUG
rnacentral:rRNA from 1 species